rnacentral:rRNA from 1 species
AACGAACGCUGGCGGCAGGCUUAACACAUGCAAGUCGAGCGCCCCGCAAGGGGAGCGGCAGACGGGUGAGUAACGCGUGGGAAUCUACCCAUCUCUACGGAAUAACGCAUGGAAACGUGUGCUAAUACCGUAUACGUCCUUCGGGAGAAAGAUUUAUCGGAGAUGGAUGAGCCGCGUUGGAUUAGCUAGUUGGUGGGGUAAAGGCCUACCAAGGCGACGAUCCAUAGCUGGUCUGAGAGGAUGAUCAGCCACACUGGGACUGUGACACGGCCCAGACUCCUACGGGAGGCAGCAGUGGGGAAUAUUGGACAAUGGGCGCAAGCCUGAUCCAGCCAUGCCGCGUGAGUGAUGAAGGCCCUAGGGUUGUAAAGCUCUUUCACCGGUGAAGAUAAUGACGGUAACCGGAGAAGAAGCCCCGGCUAACUUCGUGCCAGCCGCCGCAGUAAGAC